GUAACAUUGCAUGCGCUGAGAGAAAGAGAAGUUAGCAAUCAACUAAUGCAGAUACAACAGAGAGCCCUACAGCUACAGGAACAGGCCAAACUACAUAGAGAGCCCAAAGAGGAAUCGGUAGAUCAGCAUCCUGACCAAUCAGAACCAGACAUCACUUACUCUAAGGAAGUGAAACACAAUGAGGAACUCAUCAUUCUAUCAGUAAAUGGGACUUCUGCCUCCAUAGCAACGGAGGUGAAACAACAAAUUCAGCAACCCAUGAAGUACAAAGAUGCAGUGUUGCCAGGAAAACUUCACAAAACAAAUAUCAGUCAUAGCCAAUCAAUGCUUGGCGGUUCGGCAGGAUGGCUAAUGAAAAACAGUGGCAGGGUCACGGAAGGGUUUACUAUAUCAGAGGCAGGGAAGAAAGAGGUUGGAGACAUUAACCAAUGGGAGGAGGAGGCUGAGUCCAGGAUGAUCACUGAACGAAGGGUGACCUGGAACCAUUCCAGACAGUCUAACUCUCUACAGCCAGAGGACGCAAAUACCUUCCAACCUCGACCCAAAACCAAUGGCCCACUAGAUGGGUAUCCUGAAAUAGACUACCUACCAAACACCUCCAGCACUUCCCCAGCUUCUCCAAGCAUGGAAAACCAUCCAAACGUUUCCAUCACCAUUAGUCAGAUGGAAGCCCAAAGGUUUCCCUCCAAGGGAUUCAUGCCCACACAAAGAAAUUCUGACCCCCAGUCUGUGUUACCGGCCGUCACGAGAGACACUAGGUUUUCCCAAUCAGGAAAGGAGGAGGCUUUAGAUGAAUCAUCAAGGUUUUCACGGAAGUUAAAGUCGCCUCGGUUACGUAGAAGAAAACUAAUGUCGGCUAGCCCGUCUAUGUCAUGGACACCUCUGGUAGCUGACGGCUCUGGGAUGGGCCAACCUGCCCCACAUACAAACUCUUCCUCAAACUCAGACUCAGACUAUAACCAGAAGCUCAGGGAUUCGAGACCGAGACCAGACCCUCACCUGGUGCUCAAUCUGGGCUCCGUAAAUAAGAAUAAAGGGGUGUUCUGGGACAAAGAUUUCUGCCCCGGGCUCUAUACUUUUACUGAUACAGAGAUGCCCAACAGAAAACCUAAAGAAACAGUAAACACCCAAAAAAGGUCCAUGGUGAAGACCCAAAGAAGCGCAUCCAUAACAGACAUCGUCCUUCAUGAUGGAUCUCCCCUGACCUCAGCCAGGCACACCAAUUUGAGGAUAGCACCAUCACCCCCGCCUGGUUUGGACCCAUACCUACACCCCUCUCCCGUGGAGGCCAUUCUGUACCGGGCCAAGGAAAGAAAGAAGGACGGAGGGAAAAGAGAGGAUAAGGGGAACUCCACAGCAUGGGAACUCCUGCCUUCUCCAGCCUUCUCAACCACUCCUCUCGAGUCACCCAACAAUGGGGAUGGAGAGUCGGAUUGGGAGGAGGUGGAGCUGGUCAGAUGCCGUGCUCCAUCGGUCAGUCAGAAAUGGAUAGAGGAGAGGGUUGAUGGAGAUGUGGAUGAGGAGGAGAAAAACAACCCUGCCUUCCCUGAUGGUGCCAGUGUUGAUUGGUCAGGAUGGUGUUUGGAUGCUGACGAGAUUCUGCGUCCGCUGCCUCUGGAGGACAGUGGUGUUGGGGUUGAUGAAGAGAUGUAUUUAAUAAGAGAGGGGAGAGAGCAUGGGUUCAAUCGGCUUUUGUCCGUGAGGGAUUCCCUCAGAAUUGCCCGGAAGGAGGACAGAACGAUAAGUCAGGUGUAGUUCUGAGCCGGACUAACCAUUCCUCUGCCUUUGGUUCCCCUGCUGUUGCAUAGCUGUGUGGCGGUGCUGUCGGGACCCAGAUUCUGAGUGGGCGGAAUGACUGACGGGCCUUGAUAAAGACAAGCCAAAGGUCAUGGAUGUUCAUCAGCUUGAUCUUAUCCUUAAAAUAUGAAAAAAUGGAUGCAAAAAUUAUAUCAUGGGUAUUGGUAACCCUAGGAAUUCUAAUUUACCAAGUCAAUAGAAGGAUCUUCCCAAUGAUAAAUGCCUUUUUUAUGUUCAUCUCAGUCAUUAAGAACUCUUCAGUGGUCAUCUAUGACUUGUUUUACUUGAUGUAUGCCCUUACUCAUCUGUCGAAAUGGGGAAGAUGUGAGAAAACACAAAUGACAUGGUUGAAAGGAUCUGGUCCUUCAUAAAUUACUGGUUACUAUAUCACGUGUUCUUCAUUUGGGUUAGUUUUGGAUCAGUUGUUCUUUUCUUUAACAUUUAAAGCCUGCAAUGCACACUGGGUAGUAGGCUUUGUGUUUCUCUCAGAAAUAUCUUUAAGAAGGUUCUAAACAGGACUGAUCUAAAGAUACAAGGACCAGCAUGGGGUGGUAACAAGAACAGGAUUGUGGCUUUGUUAAAAUAAUGUUGGUUAAUAGCUUAUGAGGAAACGUUUAUGAAAUAAUCCAUUACUUUCUAUGGAUAGAUUUUGGUUAAGCUACUUCGAAACGAAUUCACCAUGUCUCAGAAUUUGAUCCUAUAUAGGUUCUAGACAAUUACUUUAAUGGUUAACUCUAAAGAUUGACUGCCUCUGUGCAGAUUGUCAGGGGGAUAACUUGUGCAGUGGUUAACUGGCCUCGUUUUUCUAACCAUUUCAUUUGAACAGUGCACUGUGCAUAUCCACAGCAACAAGCAACUGGAACUAAGUUAUUCUAUGUUAAGCAACACUGUAAGUAAUGUUAAGUAAAACCUCUACAUUUUGUUGAGGAGGGGAAAGAGUGGAUGGAUAGGGACCAACAAGGAAGGAUUUGCUUAACAACAAUUUUAUUCUAUUUCAUAUCACGCUGUUGAUUGAAGGAGCUGAUUGCCACCCAAAUUUGCCCGUAAUGCCGAUGUUAGGACAUUAACUGUAAGGAAUGUCUGAGUGAUUCAUUUUGUGAUGGAGUCAUCGACACGUUCUUCAAACUCAGAAAUGUCUUUACUAUGCUAUUAGAGCUGCACACUUGUGCAGUUGUUUGCAUUUGUACUUUUUGAUGUUGUGUCUGUUAACUUGCUGUGUAAAUGCUGUGUAGAUAGACUGGCAUGUUUGUUUAAAGUUUAUUGUAGUGUUUUUUAUUUAAAUUAGUAACCACUCCUUUAUUUUAUUGUGACCCAUUUGCUCUGUCUGAUUUAGAGUUUAUAUAUCGUAAUAAAAAGAUUGAGAUAUAGAGCAAUAU
ensembl:lncRNA